CAACAGAGGCUGAAGACUAACAGCUCUCCAGGAAUCCUUCAGGCCUUCAGCACCAUCUUCGGACUGCUGAGACAUCCAGCCUCACGGACUAAACAACUACUGGAUUCUAGGUAUCUCCAUGUGAAACAGCCAUUGUGGGACCAUAGCCCGAGUGUUCUAGGCACUGAGGGAAAUAAUUGGAAGAAUGAAAACAGGAAAAAUACCUGGAGGUCAUAUAUCUGAUAUGCUACAACUCAGCAAAAACAUUCACACCCAAAAUAACUGGAUUAGAAACUGGACAAAGGGCUGUGUCCAUCAUCCUAGUGACUGGAGGAGCUGAGGAGAACGCGAUGCUAAUGAAAGAACCAGGAAGAUGUCACUCCAUCCGAGGGGGAGGAAGAGCGAGGCAGAGCACAGAACUGCACAGCCCCAUGGGCUGAGCUUAUGAAUCAUGCGAG